GUACCCCGCAAGGCGCAAAAUGAAAAUGUCAGAAAAGGGGUCGCUGGUAUGGCUGCCUCGAUCUGUCACCGAAUCCAUCAGGCAAGGAGAAAUAGGUCAUAAAAUGUAGACAGAGGUGCAAACGAAGAUGAAAACGUGGUUAAUUCACCAGAAGUAACUAGGACAACUAGUGGGAAACAUUUAUUUCUCUUCAUGAUCAGUAUUAUCAUUAUCAUGUUUUUUUUUCUUUUGAUUUUUUUUAUGCCUAAUUCAUAAUGGCAACCUGAAAGGAAGACCAUCCAGCAGCUAUUAAAUAAAUAUUGAAUCAAAUAUCAUUCAAUAAUCA